CUUUUACUCCCUCCGUUCAAAAAUACUUAUCGAAGAAAUGAAUAAAAAUAGAUGUAUGUAAAACUAAAAUACAUCUAGAUACAUCAUUCCUCCGAUAAGUAUUUCUGAACGAAGAGAGUAUAAA
rfam:Hordeum vulgare subsp. vulgare, WGS project CAJW01000000 data, contig: morex_contig_1580752